rnacentral:rRNA from 1 species
UACAGAGGGAGCAAGCGUUGUUCGGAAUUACUGGGCGUAAAGGGCGCGUAGGCGGCCUGUUAAGUCGAACGUGAAAUCCCCGGGCUCAACCCGGGAACUGCGUCCGAUACUGGCAGGCUUGAAUUCGGGAGAGGGAUGUGGAAUUCCAGGUGUAGCGGUGAAAUGCGUAGAUAUCUGGAGGAACACCGGUGGCGAAGGCGGCAUCCUGGACCGAUAUUGACGCUGAUGCGCGAAAGCGUGGGGAGCAAACAGG